rnacentral:rRNA from 1 species
UACGUAGGGGGCAAGCGUUGUCCGGAUUUAUUGGGCGUAAAGAGCGUGUAGGCGGUUUGGUAGGUCCGCUGUGAAAACUCGAGGCUCAACCUCGAGACGCCGGUGGAAACCAUCAGACUAGAGUCCGGAAGAGGAGAGUGGAAUUCCUGGUGUAGCGGUGAAAUGCGCAGAUAUCAGGAAGAACACCCGUGGCUAAGGCGGCUCUCUAGUUCGGUACUGACGCUGAGACGCGAAAGCGUGGGGAGCGAACAGG